GACGAACGCUGGCGGCGUGCUUAACACAUGCAAGUCGAACGGAAAGGCCCUGCUUUUGUGGGGUGCUCGAGUGGCGAACGGGUGAGUAACACGUGAGUAACCUGCCCUUGACUUUGGGAUAACUUCAGGAAACUGGGGCUAAUACCGGAUAGGAGCUCCUGCUGCAUGGUGGGGGUUGGAAAGUUUCGGCGGUUGGGGAUGGACUCGCGGCUUAUCAGCUUGUUGGUGGGGUAGUGGCUUACCAAGGCUUUGACGGGUAGCCGGCCUGAGAGGGUGACCGGCCACAUUAGGACUGAGAUACGGCCCAGACUCCUACGGGAGGCAGCAGUCGGGAAUAUUGCACAAUGGGCGGAAGCCUGAUGCAGCAACGCCGCGUGCGGGAUGACGGCCUUCGGGUUAUAAACCGCUUUCGCAUGUGACGAAGCGUGAGUGACGGUAAUGGGUAAAGAAGCACCGGCUAACUACGUG
rnacentral:rRNA from 1 species